GAUGAACGCUGGCGGCGUGCCUUAGGCAUGCAAGUCGAACGGGAAGUCUUCGGACUUCUAGUGGCGGAAGGGUGAGUAAUGCGUGGGAACGUACCUAUUGGUGGAGAAUAGCUCGCCGAAAGGCGGGAUAAUUCUGCAUAAGACCGCAAGGUGAAAGGGCUUAACCGCCCGCCGAUAGAGCGGCCUGCGUCUUAUCAGCUUGUUGGUGAGGUAAAGGCCUACCAAGGCGACGAUCUGUAGCGGGUCUGAGAGGAUGAUCCGCCACACUGGGACUGAGACACGGCCCAGACUCCUACGGGAGGCAGCAGUGGGGAAUAUUGGACAAUGGGGGGAACCCUGAUCCAGCCAUGCCGCGUGUGUGAAGAAGGCCUUAUGGUUGUAAAGCACUUUAAGCGAGGAGGAGGCUACUUUAGUUAAUACCUGGAGAUAGUGGACGUUACUCGCAGAAUAAGCACCGGCUAACUCUGUGCCAGCAGCCGCCGUAA
rnacentral:rRNA from 1 species